AACGAACGCUGGCGGCAUGCCUAACACAUGCAAGUCGAACGAAGCCUUCGGGCUUAGUGGCGCACGGGUGCGUAACGCGUGGGAAUCUGCCCUUGGGUUCGGGAUAACAGUUAGAAAUGACUGCUAAUACCGAAUGAUGUCUUCGGACCAAAGAUUUAUCGCCCAAGGAUGAGCCCGCGUCGGAUUAGCUAGUUGGUGAGGUAAAGGCUCACCAAGGCGACGAUCCGUAGCUGGUCUGAGAGGAUGAUCAGCCACACUGGGACUGAGACACGGCCCAGACUCCUACGGGAGGCAGCAGUGGGGAAUAUUGGACAAUGGCGAAAGCCUGAUCCAGCAAUGCCGCGUGAGUGAUGAAGGCCUUAGGGUUGUAAAGCUCUUUUACCCGGGAUGAUAAUGACAGUACCGGGAGAAUAAGCCCCGGCUAACUCCGUGCCAGCAGCCGCGGUAAU
rnacentral:rRNA from 1 species